CUUCCUACUGUAGAAAAAAAAAAUUCCCACUCGGCUCCCUGAUUCCCGCGAACAAACCGCUCAGUACUUAUCCGGUCCUAUUCAGCCAGGUUGGAGCACGAUCUCUCGGCCGACCCCACCCACCAGUCUAAUUGGGUAACCACCAGUCCAAAAUAAGCUACUCCAGCCUUUUCCCCUUCCGUCCUGCCCAGUCACCACACUUUCGGAUGACAUGUGGGACCCGUGCUUCACGUGGCCCGCAUGCAAGUGGGGUGUAGAAUAUACUUGGCGGUCCCACCAGGCCCCACCCGA
rnacentral:lncRNA from 1 species